UCCAGACUCCUACGGGAGGCAGCAGUGAGGAAUAUUGGUCAAUGGGCGCGAGCCUGAACCAGCCAAGUCGCGUGAGGGAUGACGGUCCUACGGAUUGUAAACCUCUUUUGCCGGGGAGCAAGCGUGCGUUCGUGAACGCGCGUCGAGAGUACCCGGAGAAAAAGCAUCGGCUAACUCCGUGCCAGCAGCCGCGGUAAUACGUAGGUGACAAGCGUUGUCCGGAUUUACUGGGUGUAAAGGGCGCGUAGGCGGAUGUGCAAGUCAGUCGUGAAAUACCGGGGCUCAACCCCGGGGCUGCGAUUGAAACUGCACACCUUGAGUAUCGGAGAGGAAAGCGGAAUUCCUAGUGUAGCGGUGAAAUGCGUAGAUAUUAGGAGGAACGCCAGUGGCGAAGGCGGCGUUCUGGACGACAACUGACGCUGAGGCGCGAAAGUGUGGGGAGCAAACAGGAUUAGAUACCCUGGUAAGU
rnacentral:rRNA from 1 species